AAAUGGCUGCUCUUUCCCAUCUCCUGUCAGUAUAAUGUUAGGAACUUUCUUGGGUCCCUUUUAUGAAAUCCUGGUGAAAUUGCUAGACAAAAACCUGCAGAAAUAUGGGAGAUCUCAUAGUGAUUGAAGUUUCUCCAGAUUUUCUCAGCCUCAAAGGAACUCAGAUGCACCGGGAUGGAGCCUCCCUUGCUGUGGCAUGAUCUCCUGCAUCUUCACUUCACCACCUUCGGCUAUUGGCAACCUUAUCUUCUCCACAGAAGCCUUCCAGAAAAAAAUCAUUAUUUCGGCAGUGAUGAACAUGUGCAUGUGUAACUAUUUUAAGGGAUGAUGCAUGAUGAAGG